GACGAACGCUGGCGGCGUGCUUAACACAUGCAAGUCGAACGGAAAGGCCCUGCUUUUGUGGGGUGCUCGAGUGGCGAACGGGUGAGUAACACGUGAGUAACCUGCCCUUGACUUUGGGAUAACUUCAGGAAACUGGGGCUAAUACCGGAUAGGAGCUCCUGCUGCAUGGUGGGGGUUGGAAAGUUUCGGCGGUUGGGGAUGGACUCGCGGCUUAUCAGCUUGUUGGUGGGGUAGUGGCUUACCAAGGCUUUGACGGGUAGCCGGCCUGAGAGGGUGACCGGCCACAUUGGGACUGAGAUGCGGCCCAGACUCCGACGGGAGGCAGCAGUGGGGAAUAUUGCACAAGGGGCGGAGGCCUGAUGCAGCACCGCCGCGUGCGGGAUGACGGCCUUCGGGUUGUAAACCGCUUUCGCCUGGGACGAAGCGUGAGUGACGAUGAUGGGUAAAGAAACACCGGCUAACUACGUG
rnacentral:rRNA from 1 species